GUCAUUAGGAAAUAUUGAAGUCUUACAAUUUUUUUUUUACAAUCCUAGAUAAAUGAAUUUAAUAGGAAAUUCCAUUUUUCAUAUUGUUUUAAGCGAUCCUAGUUUUCUCAUGUUGCAGUGUUGCCGUUCAUUUUGGAAACCUACUAUGAAAAUCUUUGCGCAGGAAAAUGUAUAGUAAUUCUAAUUUCUAAUACAUAUUUAUUUUGUAUCAAACUGAUUAAUUUAUGAAUUGAGACGAAAGACAUGGAUAUGGAACUUGUGUUAAUACGUGUUUAACUUCACAAUCAAUUAGUUAGUUGAUUCAGCCAUUACUAGAAAACUUCUUCCUUCAAAUGUAGAUAUGUGGACAUGUUUUCAAUUUUUUAUUUUUAUUUUCACCUACUUCCUAAUACGGCAAUGGACCGCAAAGGGAUCCUUUAUUAUUUCGAUUCAGCUACGAACAAUUUGACACAUAGGGGAAAACCGUCUGUUACGUAGUUUAUGAGUUUUCUUCGAGGUAGGACUUGGCAUCACUGCCAGUUUGUUUUGAUUGAUAAUCUGUGAGAACUUCAAAAGUAGACUUGAUUGCUCAUCACAAGCAGACUGAUAUAUUUUGCAAAUUUACGGGAAAAAUAUUACAUUUACUUGUAGAGAAUAUGAUUGGUCAUCACAAGCAAACUGAUAUAUUUUGCAAAUUUUCUGGAAAAAGAUUACAUUUGCUAGUAGAGAAAAUGAGGUUUGAAUUUAACCACCUACUUAGAUGCAGUGAUUUGAAGUUGAGGUAUCUAUUCCCAGCAGAUCAUUAUCCAGUUAAAACUUAGGCAAUUUAGGAGAGCUUCUGUAUUUCUAAAUGUUAUUUACAUUGCUGGAUCAGAAAGAGAAGCUUCUGAGGGUGAGAUCUUGACUGUGCUUUCCAGCUUCACAUCAUAGCAUGCGAUGCUGUUUCCUAUCAGGCCAGUAAGUAAUUCAUGAGCUUUCACAUGGCCACAUACAUAGAUACUAUAGGGAUUUGCUGUUGGGGUGUUUCUUCACAACAGGUCAUGAUGCAGUUUAAACUUGGAUAGUUUAGAUACAGUAAAACCUCGCUUCAACGGACCUGAAGCCAAUGGACAUCAGAUUUAAUGGACAAAAUCUGGCCAAUGGGUAGUGUCUGCUGCUGUUUAAAUUUACUCACACACUAACCUCAGCACUGGCGGGAAAUUGGAACUUACUGUAUAUUUCUGUGUACAAGAUGACCUUUAGAUAAGACAAGGUCAAAAAUUAUGUCAAAUUUUUGACAAAUUUUCUUGAAUUUAUCUGAUACCAUGGGUGUAUAGUAUGCUAGCUUUUGCAACAACAGGUAUUUUAUGAAAUAUUGGUUAUGUAAAGAUGAUGGUGUUACAAUUGCUAUUUUACUUAAUACAUCCUUAGAAAUUCAAAAUAAACAAAAUAACAAAGCCCUUUCUUCAUAUAUCAUGUUUUUCCCAUACAUGUCGCCUAAAAGGGAACACUUUUUCAUCACCAAUCACAAAAAAAACCCAACAAUAGUUGGUUUUAACCACCAAAAUGAUUAUGAAUUUUAACCCUCACAGUUUGGGCUACAUCCCUAGACAGGCUAGAUUUAAGGAUAGCCAAUUUAAAAAAAAAAACACAUCAAUGGAAAGCCAACAAAAAGAAAAACACUUCAAUAGAAAGAGAAUUAUAUACAUAUAUGCACAUGGUAUAAGAAAAAUUGGAAAGAGGAAGGUACUGUAUGUAUAUAAACAUGGUACAUAUAAGGAAAAAAAUGAUUUAAAAAUUUCUGUAUCUUCCACAGGAAGUUGAAAGUAAAUAUGUAAUUUCAAUCCUGUUCAGGGCCUCUUUACCAAGACAGUUAAAAAAUAGAGUAGAACCCCAGUCCUCAACAUAAAUGGAUUUAAUAAUGUGAAAUUUUGCUUCAUAGCUCAAACAGAAAACUGGUAUCCAACCUGAUGAACUAUAUGAUUUUUUUUAAACAAAAGUGUUUCAGUUAGUCGCCACUAGUUGGUAUUGUUUAAUGCCAGCUCACUCUGCUGCAAAUGUUUUGAGCAAACACAAGCUUGUUUUUGUGGCUUCCUGUAUUGUAUUUUGAUUAAAUCAUGGGUCCCAAGACAGCCAUUGCAGACAAACAGAAGAGGAAAACGGUAGGAACCACAAUUGAACUGAAGGAGAUUAUUGAAAAGUAUGGCAGAGGCAUUUGUGUGACUGAUUUAGCUUCUUAUUUUUAAUAUUUUAUUAAUAUACUGUAAUGAUUAGGCUUUUUGUGCCUACCCAGUACAGUACAUACUAUACCUAACCUAAGCCUAUGGUGCUCCCUCCACCAUCGGUAUUACGACCGCAUUGGACGUAGGCCAGUUUUUUGAUGCAGUAUACAUUUGAAAAUAAAAAAAGGACAUCUAAUACAAUAUUUUAUUUAACUCUGAACUUAUUUAUUAUAAUUUAAGUGAAUGUUUUGUAUAAAAAAGCAAGGUUAGGGUAAUACCAAGUGGUCAAGAAUGGAUUAAUCCAUUUUCAGUUAUUUCUUCUGGAAAAAAAUUAAUUCAGAUCUCGACUGAAUUGCAGCUCCAUGCUUCUUCUGGAAUGGAUUAGCAUCAAGGGGUGGGGUUCUACUGUAUGGUAAUUUUACCGAGUUAUAAAAGAUAAGAACUAAAAUCAGUAAAAAAUUCUUGUGUAUAUAUUAUGUAAAAUAUUUACGAGACAUUGGAUGGUAAUUUUGGGCAACAUUCCCCUUCAACAUGAAUCAUUUAUGGCCCGAGGAAGUGAUCUGAAGACUUUUCAUGCAAAAUUUGUUCAAACUGUAUGGUACAAAAUGUUGAUCGUCAGAGAAACGAUGAUAUCCAGAAUUUACCCUAAAGCUAUGUCCGUAUACUAAUCAUUUGACGAUGCCCACUCACAAAGGGUUGAUGGAAAAUUAAUAUUAUGUUAUCUUAAAAGUUAUUACCAACAUAAUUACACUAACAUUAACAUUUCUUGAAGGUUACCAAAAAUAUAGGUUGCUGUGUGUGCAACCAAAAGUUGAUGUUGGCAUUUUCUCAGCUGGGCUUGCUUAGAUAAAAGUUUAAUUCGUUUGUAUGGAAUUAAAUCUUGAACAGGCUAUUUGUUAAGAUAUGCCAAUAAUAUACAUAUAAGGUAAAAAUGGUUUUAUUACAUUUAUUAUCAGUUUAUUUCAUAAUGUAAACAUUUUUAUGUAUGUCGGUGGUUAUCACACCCAGGCCGAGGCUAGCCUACUGAUAAAGAUCACUUAGGACAUGAAUUUUUUUAUUUAUAUUUGUCAGGAAAAUAUGAAAGGAAUGUGAUAUUCACACACAAUAUAAUUUUACAUACAGACUCUUUAAUUAUAAGUAGCCCUACUAUGUGCCUCCACUUUCAAUCUGUGUCAACUUCUUAAAUCCUGAAUUGCAGAUCUGCAUGCUCAGACCAUUUUUUCCCAUUCCUUCAGUUGUCAUUCUAAAAAAUUGAGGAUCUGUCAUAUGAAGUUGAGGGUUUGUAUGUUAGGGAAAAUUUUUUGUAUUUAUUUUUUUCAAUAAGGGUAUUAGUUGAGCACUGUGUCUUCUGGGCAAUCAGCCCAUAGGUUUUUAAUUUUAACCCAAAGAUCACUGCAUGUGUUGAAUUUCUGUGAGAUGUAAGCUUUGUAUAUGUGAAAGUCCAUGAAAUUUACCUGCUUCACAUUACUAUUCAGAAUCCCUUCUAAAUCAGUUGGUUGUAUGUAAUUGUUCCAUGUAAGUGAAUACUACUGUAACUUGAUUUCCCAAGUACUACAAUACAAAUGCAUUUGUAUGAAGUAACUAAAUAAUUAUUUUUAUUACUAUUUUGAUAGCAUAGCCACUGUUCAUUUAUAUUAUUUUUAUUAUUACCUUAAUAAAAUGGAGUUCCUUUAAAAAUAUUAAAAUUAGGUCUUCCAAAAAGUCAGGCAAAAUUUCCAUAUUGAUUUGUUUCAAAAGCAAGACAUUUGCUGUUCGUUAAAAUUUGGGUAGUCGUGUUUUAACUGUUAGUAUUGACGUACAAUUAGGAAAUUUAUGUUUUGGAAUCUGUGCAAACCAUUACUUUUUCUAGUAAUUUACUGGUCUUUGGAGGUCAAACUGAAAUUCUUAUUUCCCAAUUACCUUUUUAUAAAUGGUUGACUAUGGGGGAAAAGUGCUCUCUUUGGGAGCAUUUUAUCCCAUAUUGCCUUCCACAUUUUCUAUCAAGUAAUCUUCUGCAAACUUGAGUCUUUUCAGAUUUACUUUUGUUUGAGUUUUCAGAUUUACUUUUGUUUUCCCCCUUUCAUAUCUACUCUUUUUGUGUUGAUUUGAUUUGAUUUAUAUAAAAUUUUGGCAUUAUGCUGAGCACUGGAGCAAAUAAGG